AAGUCCGAAGAGGGUAAGCACAGAGGGGCUUGCUUCUCGGGUGACGAGCGGGCGGACGGGUGAGUAAUGUCUGGGAAACUGCCUGAUGGAGGGGGAUAACUACUGGAAACGGUAGCUAAUACCGCAAAUGUCGCAGACCAAAGUGGGGGACCUUCGGGCCUCAUGCCAUCAGAUGUGCCCAGAUGGGAUUAGCUAGUAGGUGGGGUAACGGCUCACCUAGGCGACGAUCCCUAGCUGGUCUGAGAGGAUGACCAGCCACACUGGAACUGAGACACGGUCCAGACUCCUACGGGAGGCAGCAGUGGGGAAUAUUGCACAAUGGGCGCAAGCCUGAUGCAGCCAUGCCGCGUGUGUGAAGAAGGCCUUCGGGUUGUAAAGCACUUUCAGCGGGGAGGAAGGCGUUAAGGUUAAUAACCUUGGCGAUUGACGUUACCCGCAGAAGAAGCACCGGCUAAUUCCGUGCCAGCAGCCGCGGUAAUACGGAGGGUGCAAGCGUUAAUCGGAAUUACUGGGCGUAAAGCGCACGCAGGCGGUCUGUCAAGUCGGAUGUG
rnacentral:rRNA from 1 species